rnacentral:tRNA from 1 species
GCCCGGAUAGCUCAGUCGGUAGAGCAUUAGGCUUUUAACCUAAGGGUCCAGGGUUCAAGUCCCAGUCGUGCUCCGGCA